AAUACGACUCUCGGCAACGGAUAUCUCGGCUCUCGCCACGAUGAAGAAUGUAGCGAAAUGCGAUACUUAGUGUGAAUUGCAGAAUCCCGUGAAUCAUCGAGUCUUUGAACGCAAGUUGCGCCCGAGGCCUCGGCCAAGGGCACGCCUGCUUGGGCGUCGCAC
rnacentral:rRNA from 1 species